UUGGCCAAAACUCAUUGAUUAGCACAAGU
rnacentral:piRNA from 1 species